UACAGAGGGGGCAAGCGUUGUUCGGAAUUACUGGGCGUAAAGAGCUCGUAGGCGGUUUGUCGCGUCUGCUGUGAAAACUGGAGGCUCAACCUCCAGCCUGCAGUGGGUACGGGCAAACUAGAGUGCGGUAGGGGAGAUUGGAAUUCCUGGUGUAGCGGUGGAAUGCGCAGAUAUCAGGAGGAACACCGAUGGCGAAGGCAGAUCUCUGGGCCGUAACUGACGCUGAGGAGCGAAAGCUAGGGGAGCGAACGGG
rnacentral:rRNA from 1 species